rnacentral:ncRNA from 1 species
UAAUUUUAUAAAUUUAUUAUGAAUAUAUUUUACAUAUAAAUUAUAGUAUAGAUUUUUAAUUAUUUUAAAAAUUGUUAGAUUUAAAUAAUAGUAAUUAAUUUUAAAUAUAUUUAAGAAAUUAAGAUUUAGUGAUAUUAAAAUUAAUAACAAAUUUUGUGCCAGCAGUUGCGGUUAUACAAAAAUUAAAAUAAAUUUUAUUAGUAAAUUAAUUAAAAAUAGUAAAAUUAUAUUAAAUAUUAAAUUAUUAAGUGAAAUUUUAAUUUAAUUAAAUUAUUUUUUUUUUUGAAAUUAAUAAAUUUUAUUUAUAAACUAGGAUUAGAUACCCUAUUAUUAAAAACUUAAAUAAAUAAUACUAAAAUAAUAAAUAUUAAUAUAUUUAAACUUAAAUAAUUUGGCGGUAUUUUAGUUCAUUUAGAGGAAUCUGUUUAAUAAUUGAUAAUCCACGAAUAAAUUUACUUAAUUUAUAAUUUUGUAUAUCGUUGUUAUAAAAAUAUUUUUAAAUAAUAAUAAUAUUUUAAAAUUAAUAAUUAAAAAUUAGAUCAAAUCAAGAUGCAGGUAAUAAUUAAGAAUAUAAUGGAUUACAAUAAAUUAAUUUAAAUGGAUAUUAAUUUGUAAAAAUUAAUUAAAAGUGGAUUUAAAAGUAAUUUUAUUUAGUUUAUUAAAAUGAUUAAAAAUUAAAAUAUGUACAUAUUGCCCGUCGCUUUCAUAAAUAAAUUGAAAUAAGUCGUAACAAAGUAGAGAUACUGGAAAGUGUUUCUAGAAAGAU